rnacentral:rRNA from 1 species
CAGUAGCCGCGGUAAUACAGAGGGUGCGAGCGUUAAUCGGAUUUACUGGGCGUAAAGCGCACGUAGGCGGAUAUUUAAGUCAGGGGUGAAAUCCCGCAGCUCAACUGCGGAACUGCCUUUGAUACUGGGUAUCUUGAGUAUGGAAGAGGUUAGUGGAAUUGCGAGUGUAGAGGUGAAAUUCGUAGAUAUUCGCAGGAACACCAGUGGCGAAGGCGGCUAACUGGUCCAUAACUGACGCUGAGGUGCGAAAGCGUGGGGAGCAAACAGGAUUAGAUACCCCCGUAGUCCCUGUCUCUUAUAC